UUAGAGUGCCCCGCCCACCUGCCACGCUGCUAUUGGCGCAGAGCCCGUGGAGCCCCGCCUCUUCCUGCGGCCGGAUGACGUGAGGCCUGCCAUGACAGCUACCGAGGCGGAAAUGCCAGGGAGGAGGCAGGCUUUGCAUCUGGAGCACAAAGACUGGAGAUGGAGAGAAGGAAAUGCUUUCUGAGGGCCCUGAGGAAAGAACUCAAGAUACACAAAUCAAAGCACUUUGCAAGCAGCUGGACCAAAAGAGAUACUCAGUCACUGAGAAAAGCUCCAACAUGGAGGAGACUGCGAGGGUGCCGCUUGCCAGCCCCAUUAUAUGUGUGGCAGGAAUGAAUCC